rnacentral:rRNA from 1 species
CCUACGGGAGGCAGCAGUGGGGAAUAUUGCACAAUGGGCGCAAGCCUGAUGCAGCGACGCCGCGUGAGGGAUGACGGCCUUCGGGUUGUAAACCUCUUUCAGUAGGGAAGAAGCGAAAGUGACGGUACCUGCAGAAGAAGCGCCGGCUAACUACGUGCCAGCAGCCGCGGUAAUACGUAGGGCGCAAGCGUUAUCCGGAAUUAUUGGGCGUAAAGAGCUCGUAGGCGGUUUGUCGCGUCUGCUGUGAAAGACCGGGGCUCAACUCCGGUUCUGCAGUGGGUACGGGCAGACUAGAGUGCAGUAGGGGAGACUGGAAUUCCUGGUGUAGCGGUGAAAUGCGCAGAUAUCAGGAGGAACACCGAUGGCGAAGGCAGGUCUCUGGGCUGUAACUGACGCUGAGGAGCGAAAGCAUGGGGAGCGAACAGGAUUAGAUACCCUGGUAGUCCAUGCCGUAAACGUUGGGCACUAGGUGUGGGGGACAUUCCACGUUUUCCGCGCCGUAGCUAACGCAUUAAGUGCCCCGCCUGGGGAGUACGGCCGCGAGACGAACGUAAGUAGAGUAGACGCGUGAGACGNGCGACGACGACGACGAGGGAGGAGG